CGUAGGUGGCAAGCGUUGUCCGGAUUUACUGGGCGUAAAGCGCGCGCAGGCGGCUGGCCAAGUCCGAUGUGAAAGCUUCCGGCUUAACUGGAAAACGGCAUCGGAUACUGGUCGGCUGGAAGGUGGGAGAGGGUAGCGGAAUUCCCGGUGUAGUGGUGAAAUGCGUAGAUAUCGGGAGGGACACCAGUGGCGAAAGCGGCUACCUGGCCCACUCUUGACGCUGGGGCGCGAAAGCUAGGGGAGCAAACGGGAUUAGAUACCCCGGUAGUCCUAGCCGUAAACGAUGAACACUAGGCGUUGUCGGUAUCGACCCCGGCAGUGCCGAAGCUAACGCAUUAAGUGUUCCGCCUGGGGAGUACGGCCGCAAGGCUAA
rnacentral:rRNA from 1 species